rnacentral:rRNA from 1 species
UACAGGGGGUGCAAGCGUUGUUCGGAAUUACUGGGCGUAAAGGGCGCGUAGGCGGUCACUACAAGUCAGUUGUGAAAUCUCUGGGCUUAACUCAGAACGGUCAACUGAUACUGUCGGACUAGAGUGCAGAAGGGGCAACUGGAAUUCUCGGUGUAGCGGUGAAAUGCGUAGAUAUCGAGAGGAACACCUGCGGCGAAGGCGGGUUGCUGGGCUGACACUGACGCUGAGGCGCGAAAGCCAGGGGAGCAAACGGG